rnacentral:lncRNA from 1 species
UCUUCCUCUCGGCUGGCAAUUGUUGUACCGGUACAACAUCAAUGUUGUACCGGUACACUUUUUCCAGACUUCUAUUUUGCACUUGUUCAGCUUCUUUCUCACGCUGAACAACGCUAAAACCUUUUUAACUCUUUUAAACUCACAUUUAGCCCUUCCUACAUUUCUGGAAUGCUAACUGGAACUUAUCCAACCAUCUCUUUCAUAUACU